rnacentral:rRNA from 1 species
UUAAGCGACUAAGCGUACACGGUGGAUGCCCUGGCAGUCAGAGGCGAUGAAGGACGUGCUAAUCUGCGAAAAGCGUCGGUAAGGUGAUAUGAACCGUUAUAACCGGCGAUGUCCGAAUGGGGAAACCCAGUGCAAUUCGUUGCACUAUCGUUAACUGAAUACAUAGGUUAACGAGGCGAACCGGGGGAACUGAAACAUCUAAGUACCCCGAGGAAAAGAAAUCAACCGAGAUUCCCCCAGUAGCGGCGAGCGAACGGGGAGCAGCCCAGAGUCUGAAUCAGCUUGUGUGUUAGUGGAACGGUCUGGAAAGUCCGACGGUACAGGGUGAUAGUCCCGUACACCAAAAUGCACAGGCUGUGAACUCGAAGAGUAGGGCGGGACACGUGGUAUCCUGUCUGAAUAUGGGGGGACCAUCCUCCAAGGCUAAAUACUCCUGACUGACCGAUAGUGAACCAGUACCGUGAGGGAAAGGCGAAAAGAACCCCGGCGAGGGAGUGAAAAGAACCUGAAACCGUGUACGUACAAGCAGUGGGAGCACCUUCGGGUGUGACUGCGUACCUUUGUAUAAUGGGUCAGCGACUUAUAUUCUGUAGCAAGGUUAACCGUAUAGGGGAGCCGCAGGAAACCGAGUCUUAACUGGGCGUUAAGUUGCAGGGUAUAGACCCGAAACCCGGUGAUCAGCCAUGGGCAGGUUGAAGGUUGGGUAACACUAACUGGAGGACCGAACCGACUAAUGUUGAAAAAUUAGCGGAUGACUUGUGGCUGGGGUGAAAGGCCAAUCAAACCGGGAGAUAGCUGGUUCUCCCGAAAGCUAUUUAGGUAGCGCCUCGUGAAUUCAUCUUCGGGGGUAGAGCACUGUUUCGGCUAGGGGGUCAUCCCGACUUACCAACCCGAUGCAAACUACGAAUACCGAAGAAUGUUAUCACGGGAGACACACGGCGGGUGCUAACGUCCGUCGUGAAGAGGGAAACAACCCAGACCGCCAGCUAAGGUCCCAAAGUCAUGGUUAAGUGGGAAACGAUGUGGGAAGGCACAGACAGCCAGGAUGUUGGCUUAGAAGCAGCCAUCAUUUAAAGAAAGCGUAAUAGCUCACUGGUCGAGUCGGCCUGCGCGGAAGAUGUAACGGGGCUAAACCAUGCACCGAAGCUGCGGCAGCGACACUAUGUGUUGUUGGGUAGGGGAGCGUUCUGUAAGCCUGCGAAGGUGUGCUGUGAGGCAUGCUGGAGGUAUCAGAAGUGCGAAUGCUGACAUAAGUAACGAUAAAGCGGGUGAAAAGCCCGCUCGCCGGAAGACCAAGGGUUCCUGUCCAACGUUAAUCGGGGCAGGGUGAGUCGACCCCAAGGCGAGGCCGAAAGGCGUAGUCGAUGGGAAACAGGUUAAUAUUCCUGUACUUGGUGUUACUGCGAAGGGGGGACGGAGAAGGCUAUGUUAGCCGGGCGACGGUUGUCCCGGUUUAAGCAUGUAGGCUGGUUAUCCAGGCAAAUCCGGAUAAUCAAGGCUGAGGUGUGAUGACGAGGCACUACGGUGCUGAAGUAACAAAUGCCCUGCUUCCAGGAAAAGCCUCUAAGCAUCAGGUAACAUCAAAUCGUACCCCAAACCGACACAGGUGGUCAGGUAGAGAAUACCAAGGCGCUUGAGAGAACUCGGGUGAAGGAACUAGGCAAAAUGGUGCCGUAACUUCGGGAGAAGGCACGCUGGUGUGUAGGUGAAGUCCCUGCGGAUGGAGCUGAGACCAGUCGAAGAUACCAGCUGGCUGCAACUGUUUAUUAAAAACACAGCACUGUGCAAACACGAAAGUGGACGUAUACGGUGUGACGCCUGCCCGGUGCCGGAAGGUUAAUUGAUGGGGUUAUCCGUAAGGAGAAGCUCUUGAUCGAAGCCCCGGUAAACGGCGGCCGUAACUAUAACGGUCCUAAGGUAGCGAAAUUCCUUGUCGGGUAAGUUCCGACCUGCACGAAUGGCGUAAUGAUGGCCAGGCUGUCUCCACCCGAGACUCAGUGAAAUUGAACUCGCUGUGAAGAUGCAGUGUACCCGCGGCAAGACGGAAAGACCCCGUGAACCUUUACUAUAGCUUGACACUGAACAUUGAGCCUUGAUGUGUAGGAUAGGUGGGAGGCUUUGAAGCGUGGACGCCAGUCUGCGUGGAGCCAACCUUGAAAUACCACCCUUUAAUGUUUGAUGUUCUAACGUUGGCCCUUACCGGGGUUGCGGACAGUGUCUGGUGGGUAGUUUGACUGGGGCGGUCUCCUCCCAAAGCGUAACGGAGGAGCACGAAGGUUAGCUAAUCCUGGUCGGACAUCAGGAGGUUAGUGCAAUGGCAUAAGCUAGCUUGACUGCGAGCGUGACGGCGCGAGCAGGUGCGAAAGCAGGUCAUAGUGAUCCGGUGGUUCUGAAUGGAAGGGCCAUCGCUCAACGGAUAAAAGGUACUCCGGGGAUAACAGGCUGAUACCGCCCAAGAGUUCAUAUCGACGGCGGUGUUUGGCACCUCGAUGUCGGCUCAUCACAUCCGGGCUGAAGUAGGUCCCAAGGGUAUGGCUGUUCGCCAUUUAAAGUGGUACGCGAGCUGGGUUUAGAACGUCGUGAGACAGUUCGGUCCCUAUCUGCCGUGGGCGCUGGAGAAUUGAGGGGGGCUGCUCCUAGUACGAGAGGACCGGAGUGGACGCAUCACUGGUGUUCGGGUUGUCAUGCCAAUGGCACUGCCCGGUAGCUAAAUGCGGAAGAGAUAAGUGCUGAAAGCAUCUAAGCACGAAACUUGCCCCGAGAUGAGUUCUCCCUGAGACUUUAAGUCUCCUGAAGGAACGUUAAAGACGAUGACGUUGAUAGGCCGGGUGUGUAAGCGCAGCGAUGCGUUGAGCUAACCGGUACUAAUGAACCGUGAGGCUUAACCU